AUACGUAGGUGGCAAGCGUUGUCCGGAUUUACUGGGCGUAAAGGAUGUGUAGGCGGAUAUUUAAGUGAGAUGUGAAAUCCCCGGGCUUAACUUGGGGGCUGCAUUUCAAACUGGAUGUCUAGAGUGCACCGGAGAGGAAAGCAGAAUUCCUAGUGUAGCGGUGAAAUGCGUAGAGAUUAGGAAGAAUACCAGUGGCGAAGGCGGCUUUCUGGACUGUAACUGACGCUGAGGCAUGAAAGCGUGGGGAGC
rnacentral:rRNA from 1 species